CUGCCAUGACAAGCAGCAUGUGAAGAUGCCGUUAAGCCAUGAGCCAUGUGGCAAGGGUGGAGGAUCCAUCGGCAGAGAGGACCCAGGGCUCUACAUUUUGCUGGAGACAGGGGAGAUGGGACUUCAUGAGGGGAUGAACUGUGUGGAGUGUCUACUGUCUUGGACCUGAAAAGCUCUGAGGAUCUCCAUUGCUCACCAUGAGAUGGGAGCGAAAAAUGAAGUCAGCAUGAAGCAGAGGUGACAUUGAGGCCAUGAAAUAAAUGAAGCAGCAUUCUCGAAGGCACAUAGCUGGAAACGGAGGUGGGAGACCCACCAUCGAUGUGGCUGUAAGGACUCUCGUUAUCUCUACAGACCACAGCAUUUUUAAAAAAAGACGCAUUCACCCAAGAAACACGGCCUAGACAGAUAAUGAGAGUAGCCGCGCAGAGGCGCCAAGCAGAAAUAGUUAUGGGGCCACUUGACAAAUUCUCUUUGAAAUAACUGUGAUUCACUGAGAGGAAGGAAAGAAGAUGUUUAAAAAAAGACUCCAGUGCAUCUUGUAUAAGAGGCAGUUUCCUUCUGGUCCCUUUGGGUUAAAUCUCCUUCAGGGCUCUUUGCUAAAGAAAAGGGUGUUUAGCCUUAAAAAUGGAUGGAUAAGCUCCGGACACGCUCUGUCAGCUCGGUAAACACAGUCUCAGAGUUGACUCCCCGUAGCAGGUUUCUUGGUGUCUAUGAACAGAACACAAUCCAGGUGGGUCGGACACGAGGGUCUCCAGUCCAGCUGAAGCCGAGGACAGUGACAAAAUGACUGUCAAAGCCAAUAGUUAUUUUGAGUUUGCAUUAA